rnacentral:rRNA from 1 species
UACAGAGGGUGCGAGCGUUAAUCGGAAUUACUGGGCGUAAAGCGCACGUAGGUGGUUUGUUAAGCUAGCUGUGAAAUCCCCGGGCUCAACCUGGGCACUGCAGUUAGAACUGGCAAGCUAGAGUAGGGUAGAGGGGUGUGGAAUUCCAGGUGUAGCGGUGAAAUGCGUAGAUAUCUGGAGGAACAUCAGUGGCGAAGGCGACACCCUGGACUCAUACUGACACUGAGGUGCGAAAGCGUGGGGAGCAAACAGG